GAUGAACGCUAGCGGCAGGCCUAACACAUGCAAGUCGAGGGGCAGCACAGAAACAGCAAUGUUUUGGUGGCGACCGGCGGACGGGUGCGUAACGCGUAUGCAACCUGCCUUUAACAGGGGGAUAACGGAGAGAAAUUUCCACUAAUACCCCAUAACAUCGAUCAAGGCAUCUUGAUUGGUUGAAAACUCCGGUGGUUAAAGAUGGGCAUGCGUUGUAUUAGGUAGUUGGUGAGGUAAUGGCUCACCAAGCCUACGAUACAUAGGGGGACUGAGAGGUUAGCACCCCACACUGGUACUGAGACACGGACCAGACUCGUACGGGAGGCAGCAGUGAGGAAUAUUGGUCAAUGGGGGCAACCCUGAACCAGCCAUGCCGCGUGCAGGAAGACGGCUCUAUGAGUUGUAAACUGCUUUUAAACAGGGAUAAAGCACAGUAUGUAUACUGUGUUGAAGGUACUGUAAGAAUAAGGAUCGGCUAACUCCGUGCCAGCCGCCGCGGUAA
rnacentral:rRNA from 1 species